rnacentral:rRNA from 1 species
CCACGCCCUAAACGAUGGGUACUAAGUGUGGAGGGGUUAAACCCUCCGUGCCGCAGCAAACGCAGUAAGUACCCCGCCUGGGGAGUACGGUCCGCAAGGUUAAAACUCAAAGGAAUUGAACGGGGGCCCGCACAAGCGGUGGUGCAUGUGGUUUAAUUCGACGCAACGCGAGGAACCUUACCUAGGCUUGACAUGUGGUGAGUAGCGAACCGAAAGGGGAGUCGACCCGUCAAAUCGGGCCAUCACACAGGUGCUGCAUGGCUGUCGUCAGCUCGUGCCGUGAGGUGUUGGGUUCAGUCCCGCAACGAGCGCAACCCUCGCCCUUGUUGCCAUCGGGUAAAGCCGGGCACUCUAAGGGAACUGCCAGCGACAAGUUGGAGGAAGGAGAGG